CUAAGACAGGUGUCUCCAUCAGCGUCAGUUCACAUCCCCCAACCCGUCUAAUCAAUGUCAACAGUACACUUGAACAUGAGGGUUCCAGGUGGAACACAGAUCGGAUCGAGCACAACAAAACAUAUAACUAUUCAUUCUUACCACCCUGACCCUCAAUCCCUGGAACUACAUUUACCUGACAUCAGUAGGAGAGUGCUUCAACCUUCAAACUUUCGUUCUCCAAUCAGACUCUCUAGGCACUCAGACCAUUGAUAAGAUGAUGAAUGGAUGGAUGGAUGGACAGACAGACAGACAGACGGAUAGAUUGAUAUUACCAUGAAUACAGAAACACGAAAUCACUCCGGAGACAAAAUGACCAUGUUGACAGGGAGCUUUCAUUCAGGACCAUAUCCUUACCUGACAAUUCUGGUAGAGUCGUCAUAGAUACAGGAGUUUCUCUGCGUCUGCACAUUGUGGGUUUAGACCGUCUUUGGACAAAUGGUCAGUAAUCUGGGACUGGACGUCGGUCGGACUUUCCUGCAACACACGCAUUAUUUAAUACAAAAUAUAUGAUGUAAAAUGAUGUUUUUGUAAAUUAAGAAGCAUCCCCAU